CUGGAGGUGGCGCAACCGGUAACAGAGCUGCCUGUGGCGCAGAAGGUCACAGGUUCAAGCCCCGUCUAGAGGA